rnacentral:misc_RNA from 1 species
GAUGAAGAACGUAGCGAAAUGCGAUAAGUAAUGUGAAUUGCAGAAUUCAGUGAAUCAUCGAAUCUUUGAACGCAUCUUGCGCUGCUUGGUACUCCGAGGAGCAUGCCUGUUUGAGUGUCAUUUAACUUCUCAACCACAUUGGAUAUUUUUUUUCCGAUGCCGGCUUGGAUGUGGGGGUUGUUUGCAGGCUUUUUGUAACAAAAAAGGUCGGCUCCCCUGAAAUGUAUUAGUGGUAUCUGAGGCUAUUACUAUUAGGUGUGAUAAUUAUCUAUGCCUUUUGGGUAUGUCGCAUGAACAGAUUAUGCUGCUUCUAACGAAAACUAUUUUGAUGAAUUUGACCUCAAAUCAGGUAGGACUACCCGCUGAACUUAAGCAUAUCAAUAAGCGGAGGA